GAUCCUGGCUUAGGACGAACGCUGGCGGCGUGCUUAACACAUGCAAGUUGAACGGUAUGACAUGGAAGCCUGCUGAAGUGUCAUAUAGUAGCGGACGGGUGAGUAAUGCAUGAGAAGCUGCCAUUGGGAGGGGGACAACAGUUGGAAACGGCUGCUAAUACCCCGUAUGCCGGAGGGUGAAAGGGAGUAAUCCGCCCGAUGAGGUGCUCAUGUCCUAUCAGCUGGUUGGUGGGGUAACGGCCUACCAAGGCGACGACGGGUAGCCGGCCUGAGAGGGUGAACGGCCACACUGGAACUGAGAUACGGUCCAGACUCCUACGGGAGGCAGCAGUGGGGAAUAUUGGGACCAAGUGGGGGCAACCCUGACCCAGCGACGCCGCGUGGGGGAAGACGGCCUUCGGGUUGUAAACCUCUUUUGUACGGGAAGAAGGAAGUGACGGUACUGUACGAAUAAGUCCCGGCUAACUACGUGCCAGCCGCCGC
rnacentral:rRNA from 1 species